rnacentral:rRNA from 1 species
AGUGAACGCUGGCGGUAGGCCUAACACAUGCAAGUCGAACGGAAGCACAGUAAGAGCUUGCUCUUACGGGUGGCGAGUGGCGGACGGGUGAGGAAUACAUAGGAAUCUACUUUUUCGUGGGGGAUAACGUAGGGAAACAUACGCUAAUACCGCAUACGACCUACGGGUGAAAGCAGGGGAUCUUCGUACCUUGCGCGAUUGAAUGAGCCGAUGUCGGAUUAGCUAGUUGGCGGGGUAAAGGCCCACCAAGGCGACGAUCCGUAGCUGGUCUGAGAGGAUGAUCAGCCACACUGGAACUGAGACACGGUCCAGACUCCUAAGGGAGGCAGCAGUUGGGAAUAUUGGACAAUGGGCGCAAGCCUUAUCCAGCCAUACCGCGUGGGUUAAGAAGGCCUUCGGGUUGUAAAGCCCUUUUGUUUGGAAAGAAAAGCAGCAGGUUAAUACCCCGCUGUUCUGACGGUACCCAAAGAAUAAGCACCGGCUAACUUCGUG